AUUGAACGCUGGCGGCAGGCUUAACACAUGCAAGUCGAGCGGGGUGAUGGUGCUUGCACUAUCACUUAGCGGCGGACGGGUGAGUAAUGCUUAGGAAUCUGCCUAUUAGUGGGGGACAACAUCUCGAAAGGAAUGCUAAUACCGCAUACGUCCUACGGGAGAAAGCAGGGGAUCACUUGCGACCUUGCGCUAAUAGAUGAGCCUAAGUCGGAUUAGCUAGUUGGUGGGGUAAAGGCCUACCAAGGCGACGAUCUGUAGCGGGUCUGAGAGGAUGAUCCGCCACACUGGGACUGAGACACGGCCCAGACUCCUACGGGAGGCAGCAGUGGGGAAUAUUGGACAAUGGGGGGAACCCUGAUCCAGCCAUGCCGCGUGUGUGAAGAAGGCCUUAUGGUUGUAAAGCACUUUAAGCGAGGAGGAGGCCCUUUUGGUUAAUACCCAAGAUGAGUGGACGUUACUCGCAGAAUAAGCACCGGCUAACUCUGUGCCAGCCGCCGCGGUAA
rnacentral:rRNA from 1 species